CAGAGGGUCCCACAGCGCCGCAACCCAACUUAGGGUUAUUCCAUCAUGUGAGCCCUCUUUCCUGCGAAGUGCUUCUGGCACGUGGGUUGACUUUCUGGGUGCCAACUCAUGCGCCCCAAUCACUAGUUACUUGCCCUGGGGGUAGAUCUACCUUUCCCUCGUACCAUGCACGUGGUUCUCCCCUGGUUAUGGCCCUCUCAU
rnacentral:lncRNA from 1 species